AAAUUUAUAUAAUUGUUUUGUAUUAUAUUAUUAUAAUUUAAUUAUUAAUUAAAUAAAUUUGAGUUGGUGUAUAAUAAAUUGAUAAAAUUAUUUUUACUAUAGUUUAUUAGUACUGUGAAGAAAAUUAGAAUUAAUAUUUAAUAAUUAAUAAAAGAUAAUUUUAUUUAUUGUAUCUUGUGUAUCAGAGUAAAUUAAAAUAAAUUAUGAACUUUAUUUUUCUCGAAUUUAAAAGAUUUAAUUAAAAAUGUUAUUUAUUGUUUUAUAAAUGUUAAAAAUUUUUUGUUGGUAAUGAUAUGUUAUUCGUUUUUAAGGAUAUCUAGUUUUUUAAUAAAUGAAUUUAAUUCAAAAAAUAUAAUUUACUAAAUAAUUUUGAUAUUAAGGUAUUAUUAUAUUUUUAAUUUUAAAGGGGAUAAGCUUUUUAAAAAAUAAUUAUAAUAUUAUGUGUAAGGAGGAUUUUAUAAAUUUAGAAUUUGUUAAUAUUUUAAAUAUGUUAAAAUUUAAUUCUUAUUUUAUGUGAAUUUUUAAUUUUUAUUUAAUUUUUAUAUUAAUAUUUAAUAUUUAAUUUAGAAAUUUUGGAAAAUAUGAUUUAAUUAGUAAAAUAUUAAUAAUAAUUUGUUUAGUGAGUUGAUGAAUUAAUAUAAAGAAUUAAGCAAAUAUUUUACUCACCUGUUUAUUAAAAACAUGGUUUCUUGAAUUUAUUUAAGAAAUCUAACCUGCCCACUGAAAAUAUUUUGAAGGGCCGCAGUAUUUUGACUGUGCAAAGGUAGCAUAAUCAUUAGUCUUUUAAUUGAGGGCUGGUAUGAAUGGUUGGAUGAGGUAAAUUCUGUUUUAUAUUAAUUUAUAUUGAAUUUAGAUUUUAAGUAAAAAAACUUAAAUAUUAUUAAGGGACGAGAAGACCCUAUAGAGUUUAAUAAAUGUAUUAAUUAAUUGAGUUAUGAAAAGUAGUUUUUGGUUAUUAUAGAAUUUAUUUAAUUGGGGUGAUUAGAAGAUAUGAUUAACUUUUCUUUAUAUUAAAUAACGUAAGUAGUUUUAUGAUCCAUAUUUAAUGAUUAAAAGAUUAAAUUACCUUAGGGAUAACAGCAUAAUUCUUUUUAAGAGUUCAUAUUAAAAGAAGAGUUUAUGACCUCGAUGUUGGAUUAAGAUUAGUUUUGGGUGUAGAUGUUCAAUAAACUAGGUCUGUUCGACCUUAAAAAUCUUACAUGAUCUGAGUUUAAAUCGGCGUGAGCCAGGUUGGUUUCUAUCUUUAAUAAAAUUUAAUAUUCUAGUACGAGAGGACCUAAUAUUUGAAAUAAUUUUUUUUUAUGAAUACUAUUAAUUAU
rnacentral:rRNA from 1 species